UUUCACCUUUUCCUAUGUUUGGUUCCCGUAAAAUAAAAGGUCAUUGUAAGUUGUUUUCCGGUCAACGGAAAACUUAAUGAAAAACACGGUAAAAUGACUUACCGUUUGGAAAUCCGUAAGUCGUUUUCCAGCUUCUCCCGUCCCUUGCUCCACAUUGAUUCUGAACUUCCUUCUCCCGUCCCUUGCUCCACAUCGAAACUUCACUGUUUCUUCCUUUAAUUCCUUCAUUUCUUUUUCAUCACCAAAGCACUCUCCAUUAUUCUCUUAUAUUUUUCUUUAGCUUUUUUUUUAAGAUCCAUCUGAUUUCAAUGGCAACUCUUGCACCUACCCCUCUUUCGAAACACCCUUUAUCAAGUUCACCAAAGGUCUUUGAUUCCAGGGUCCAAAGUGGGGAGAUUCAACUGACCCAGUUCAGAUUUUGGGCUUAUUUCAGGUUGGGCAUGUUUGCUGGGUUGACAAUGAUGUAAUAAAUGGAAAACCAACUGGAGCGGUUAGAGUAUCUAUUGGUUACAUGUCAACUUAUGAAGAUGCUAAGGUAGUCUUUUUCUACCUUUUGAGU